rnacentral:rRNA from 1 species
UACGGGGGGGGUAAGCGUUGUUCGGAAUUACUGGGCGUAAAGGGCUCGUAGGCGGCCAACUAAGUCAUACGUGAAAUCCCUCAGCUUAACUGGGGAACUGCGUGUGAUACUGGAUGGCUUGGAUUUGGGAGAGGGAUGCGGAAUUCCAGGUGUAGCGGUGAAAUGCGUAGAUAUCUGGAGGAACACCGGUGGCGAAGGCGGCAUCCUGGACCGAUACUGACGCUGAGGAGCGAAAGCCAGGGGAGCAAACGGG